UACGGAGGGUGCGAGCGUUGUCCGGAAUCACUGGGCGUAAAGGGCGCGUAGGCGGCUCAUGAAGGCUGUGGUGAAAGUCCGGGGCUCAACCUCGGAUCGGCCGUGGCGACUCGUGGGCUGGAGCACUGUAGAGGCGGGUGGAAUUCCGGGUGUAGCGGUGGAAUGCGUAGAGAUCGGGAGGAACACCGGUGGCGAAGGCGGAUCUCUGGGCCGAUACUGACGCUGAGGAGCGAAAGCGUGGGGAGCGAACAGG
rnacentral:rRNA from 1 species